UCAGGUCGGCAUAUUUUCCUUAAAUUACUUGUUCAACAGAAUAAUUUAACUGAUGGUUCCUUAAAUAAUAAUUUAUUACCAUUGGCACUAAGGAUCCCCUAACUAUAAAUUUUCAGAUCCUUGUCUUAUGUGGCUCAGUCCAGAAAUAUUAAACUAUGUAGUGAAUACACUGUAUGAGUUCUAACUAGUGCAGAAAUAUUAAACCAUGCAUGGGGUAUAUUCCAUAAGUUCUAGCUAGUUUAGGGUUGAAAUCAUCUAGAACCCAAAUGCAGAGAAUCUGUGCCAAUAAGAAAGCAAAAUAAACCUGACAUAAGCUUGACACUCACACCUGGAGAGCCUUUAAGUCAUUCCUUACAGCUGCAGCAGACAAGGUGGUUCAGGUAAAGAAUUCUUAAUACUGUCGUAGAGCCUAAGUCCCAAAUACCUUAGCUUUCUUUGGUAUCUACAGAAGUUGAAACUCCUAAAGCUCCCUAGAACUCCCUACUUCCUACUUCACACUCUAAACAUCGGAAACAAAGAAAAGGAUGAAAAGGAAAAACGAGAUGGGAAACACAAGAAAACCCUUGUCAACUGCUCUAAACCUUAAGUUACCAAUGAUCUGGGUAAGGUUGCAAGUACAGAAGUGUUUCCUGUUAAUAAUCAAGAACUACAGAGGGCUGAAGGCUCAUGGGGGUUCGCAGUGGUCCUGGCAGCUGGAAUGUCCUCAAUGUGAUCAUAGUGUGUCCAGAGUAGCCACGCCGCCAUGAGGACAGCCCAGCCAAAUGCCAGAGAAAGAACACCUUGGCUGAUUGUCCCCAACUGUGGAUUGCUGGAGAUAAAGAAAGGGUCUAUCCACUGCCACUGAAGAGUGCAUGGCCUCUCCCAGGGACUUCCACUCAUUCAUAGAAAACCACAAUGUAAGAUGCUUAUAACAAAGAGUAAAGAAAGCUCAGCAUGAA